UCCACAGUUCUCCUUGUGGCCAAAUCGUGC
rnacentral:piRNA from 1 species